AUAAAAAGAGGGAAGAAAACAACACUACAGCUGUGUUUUUGGUUUGUUGGUUUUUUUUUUCCAGUUUUUUUUGUGUGUGUGUGUGUGUUUUUUUUUUUUUUUUUUUUU
rnacentral:ribozyme from 13 species